AGCAACCAGCAUCUCAGUUAAAAAUAACUGGGAAUCAAUUAACUGUUCAGCUAGAUGCUGAAGUUUAACAGGUGAUUUUGUGCAACAUAUUUUCAUGGAUCGGAAACAACUUGAGGAGAAACUGAACUGUAAAAAAAAAUCACCUAAGAGGCAGACUUGCUAUUUUGCCAGAUGCUUUAUUUCCCUCAAUUGUGGUAACCAGAAUUGGACACGACCAGGAGGCACUGGCCAAGUGAGUGAGGGCAUCAACUGUAAUUUACCGACAACCACAGAAAGACAACCGCAGUGGACGGACAACAAAGACAACACAGCAGAAUGACAAAUAUGGAGACUAAAACAAAUACAAAUAAACACAUUAAAAACAUAAACUUUAAGUACACUGGCAAAGAAAUGAAGCAGUUGAAGUCAUAUCAUGUGUCGCAAAUCAAAAUGGACAUGAAAUGUUGCAUGUUUGUCUUACAGAGGAAAUAUUUAUGAAGCUUGAAAAUGGAACUACAUUGUGACAUUUUAUGAAGUAACAUGAAAAUAAAUACUCUACUUCUCUUU